CUACUUUGGUCAUGAGUUAAAAAAGAAAAAAUAGGUAAGACCAACCGGUGGGAGGCCAUGCUGGCUAUAUUAGGUGCGAUAUACUGUACUCAUAGACUGUAUCGAGCCAUGGCCCAAGAUAUGGUAAGCUUUGGGUCAUAACUUAGGGUCUUACCUCAGUGAGUCUUUAAAGAGCUGACCUACUAUUACAUGUUUUCAAAUUUUCGUUGUUUUUUCUUGAAUUAUGUUGGACCGGUAAAGCCACUGGCCAGACAUGACCAAGCCAAAAUUGAGAGAGUCGGACUACUGUACCGAACCGUUUGACAUGUACAGGACAGAACAAUGCAGCGAUCAUAAAUAAAAAAAAGAAAUAUAAAUUACAAAAACCAAAGACAUAAACAGAACGAUAUAACUCCAGUAUCCAAACAACCAAUUACAAAUAUAAUGAAGGCAGGGCCUGCACUUUCUUGUCCCCGGAGUUUCUUGAGUCUCAGAAGCUUCUCUCCGUCAGUCUCCGCUUUUUCUAUCAAACGACGGUGAAUCAACCGGUCACGUGGAACAGCAAACAUAUAGAACAUUGAGGUGAUUUGUAAUGGAAGCCAAAUUUUUUCGCUUUCUAAAGAUCGUAGGUGUUGGGUACAAAGCCAGAGCUGAAUCAGAGGGUCGUCUCUUAUUUCUCAAAUUGGGGUACAGUCACGAGGUUGAACUCACUGUUCCUCCAGCUGUUCGUGUUUUCUGCUUCAAAAACAAUGUAAUUUGCUGCACUGGAAUUGACAAGCAAAGGGUGCACCAGUUUGCUGCUUCUGUUCGUAGUUGCAAGCCUCCUGAAGUAUACAAAGGCAAGGGUAUAAUGUACAUUGAUGAAGUUAUCAAGAAGAAACAAGGAAAGAAGUCCAAAUGAUCAUGGAGAUACCAGGUUCUGAAUUCGCUAAAUGUCUUUGCACCUCUAUGUGGCUCUGUCGGCUAUGCCAUAUCAUGUAAAGCUAAAUUGAUUCUCUUAUGUUAAAGCAUUUUGGAACUUUUAGGGA